rnacentral:rRNA from 1 species
CUAGCAUAUCAAUAAGCGGAGGAAAAGAAACCAACAGGGAUUGCCUCAGUAACGGCGAGUGAAGCGGCAACAGCUCAAAUUUGAAAUCUGGCCUCACGGUCCGAGUUGUAAUUUGUAGAGGAUGCUUCGAGCAUGGUCUGGCCUAAGUUCCUUGGAACAGGACGUCAUAGAGGGUGAGAAUCCCGUAUGCGGCCAGGUGCCUACGCUCAUGUGAAGCUCCUUCGACGAGUCGAGUUGUUUGGGAAUGCAGCUCAAAAUGGGUGGUAAAUUUCAUCUAAAGCUAAAUAUUGGCCAGAGACCGAUAGCGCACAAGUAGAGUGAUCGAAAGAUGAAAAGCACUUUGGAAAGAGAGUUAAACAGUACGUGAAAUUGUUGAAAGGGAAGCGCUUGCAACCAGACUUGCGUGCGGCCGAUCAUCCGGUGUUCUCACCGGUGCACUCGGUCGCGCUCAGGCCAGCAUCGGUUUUGGUGGUUGGAUAAAGGCCCUAGGAAUGUAGCUUCUCUCGGGGAGUGUUAUAGCCUAGGGUGCAAUGCAGCCCACCGGGACCGAGGACCGCGCUUCGGCUAGGAUGCUGGCGUAAUGGUUGUAAGCGACCCGUCUUGAAACACGGACCAAGGAGUCUAACAUCUAUGCGAGUGUUUGGGUGUCAAACCCAUACGCGUAAUGAAAGUGAACGGAGGUGAGAACCCUUAAGGGUGCAUCAUCGACCGAUCCUGAUGUCUUCGGAUGGAUUUGAGUAAGAGCAUAGCUGUUGGGACCCGAAAGAUGGUGAACUAUGCCUGAAUAGGGUGAAGCCAGAGGAAACUCUGGUGGAGGCUCGCAGCGGUUCUGACGUGCAAAUCGAUCGUCAAAUUUGGGCAUAGGGGCGAAAGACUAAUCGAACCAUCUAGUAGCUGGUUCCUGCC